UAAAAAGCAAGUUCUUCUUUUUAUCCAUGAGGGUGCCUGUUAGGGUUGGAGGGUAAGAGACACAGCCCAUCUGUCUUUUUUCACUCCUCCCACUCAGUGUGCUAACCUCUUCGGCAGAGCAGGACCAUGGGAACAAUAGAAACACUGGGUUUUCUAAAACUGCGCUCUGUAAAGGAUUGAUUGGUGACUUGACAAAAACUACAUCUGCUUGACAUUCUCUGGAGAAAUGCACAAGGCCACACAGAAAAAUAUCCCCUACUUCCAAGAGGAUUUCUCUAUGCAGCACCCACUGUCCUAGAGUACACUGUGUAGACCAGGUUUGCCUCCUGAGGCCUGGCAUUAUAGAUGUACAACACCAAGUCGGCUUGCCUCUCUGAAGGUAUGACAAUUCUCUUAAAGAGCCCCCAGAACCGCAGUUUUUCUAAGCAGGCUUAAUGAUAUAUAUACCUUUUUACAUUUGUUUAUUUCUGUGUGGAUGAGUGUUUUGUUCUCAUGUGGGUAUGUGUACCAUGGGCAUGCCUGGUGCCCUUAGGAGUCAGAAGAGGUCAUGGUUGUGAGCCAUCGAGUAGGUGCUGGGAACUGAACUCCGGUCUUCAGCAGGUGCUCUUAACUGCUGAGCCAUCCCUCCAGCCACCAAGUGUGAAUUUUAAGAACAUUUUUUGGCAGUCCCAUGAUCACAUUUACCUUCCACCACCUUCCCACCCUCCCUGCAACCCCAGCCUUGCGCGGCUGUCACAGCUGCUGUGUUGAUGAUUGUAGUGGUCAAGUCAUACCCAGGUGACAGAGUCCCACUGCACUCUUCCACAGACUUUCCACCCCGUCUUCCACAGUGUUCCUGGGCCUCAGGGAGGGUGACAUAGAUGUCCUGUUUGGGACUGAGUGCUCAGCAGUCACUUCAUCUCAGCACUUUGGUCCCUUUAUGAGUCCCUACUUUAAUCACUUCCAAAAGAGGCUUCUCUGGCCAAGCCUGAGAGCCCCCCCCCCCCCCCCCCCCCCCGUGCAUGGUUGCAAGCACAAACGAUGAGAAGGCAGCUUAAUUCCGUGUGUCUCCUUGGUGUAGCAUUAGUAGAAGGUCCUCCCAAGGGCCCUGUGAUUUCCUUCCCUAGCUAUAGCGGUAGUUCAAUGACAGCACCGACUCUGUCAUCCCUUCUGUGAAGUAGGCCUUAAAUCCAAGCUGGCAAGGGUUGGGUCCCCCAGAACAUUCAUACCACCAUGGUCCUGCUGUGGGUCUCUAGCCGGGCAGAUCAGUACUGCAGAGUGCUGGGUGGGGUUGUUAGUGACGUUUCUUCCCUGGCAGCCUGCAUAGUACCAUCCAGCUCUGUGAUGCCAGACAGAGGGGAAGGAGCUCAGCUCCAGCUUGGUUUCUGUGUCCUGUAUCCAGAGUGUGGGUGUCUUCAGCAAUCAGCUCUUACUGUCCAGUUCUGCAGGGCAUACGAGAGCAAUGGGGAUGGACUGUGUUGUGUCAGGGGCUGUCUGCAGGCUUCCUCACCAACAGCCCAUGGGGCAGUAUCCUGUUGUUGUUGUCAUUUUUUUUUAUUCUUUGUUCUUUGGGCUCUUUUGGGGGCCUGCCACCCAGCUCCCAAAUAAAUCACACAUGGAGACUUAAUUCUUAUUUACAAAUGCCCGGCCUUAACUUGGCUUGUUUCUAGGCAGCUGUUCUUAAAUUAUUAUCCCGUAUACCUUUUGCCUCUGGACUUUUACCCCUUUCUAUUUUGUAUAUCCUUUCUUUCCUCUUUUUCUGCAGCUGGCUGUGUAGCUGGGUAACUGGCCCCUCAGUCCUCUUCCUACUCUUGCUCCUUGCUUCCCCAGCACCCUUUUUCCUCCUAUUUAUUCUCUCUCCUGCCAGCCCCACCUGUCCUUUCUCCUGCUUUGCUAUUGGCCGUUCAACUCUAUUAGACCAUCAGGUGUUUUAGACAGGCAAAGUAACACAGCUCCACAGAGUUAAACAAAUGCAGCAUACAAGAAUGGGACACAUCUUUGCAUUAUUAAAACAAAUAUUCUGCAGCAUAAACAAAUGUAACACCUCUUAAAAUAAUGUUCUACAACAGUAUCCCUCACUUGGCAAGAGGGUUUUGGAUCCCAGUGACUUCUGGGAGCAGUACUGAUGGCUCAUGCAGUUUCUCCAUCCAAAUAUCGCCUUAAAUUUUUUUAAGUUAGCUUAGUUAUAAGGGAGUGGGUUUCUAAGUAUUUUUUGCAUAGUGCUAAUUUUUGUUGACUUUCCUUUAGCCCCUCUGCCCCCUAGUUUUAUCCCCUUCUACUUCCAAGUGAGAAAAACACGGAGUACCCCACAAAUGUCGCCUUGUGCAGGAGCCAUGCCGGUCUUCUUUGUUUUGUUCCAAUUUCACUGUUUGUGCUGCAGAAGCAGAUAUGGAAAUGGGAAUUUUUGUAUGAUGUUUAGGCAUCUGAGAAGGCAACCACGGUACGAAUCUUGGGAUUUCCUGAAGUCUUUCUUCAAAUCUCUCUUCAGGUCUGCAAGCGGUCUGUGGUAAGAAAACCUGGAGGCUCACAGGGUCCAUGGUCUCCUGCCUUCCUUUUCAUUUGGUUUGGUCACACGCUUGAGAGGGUUUUUAGUUUUUAGUCUGAGACGGGCUCCCUAGGCCACCUUGACUGGCUUGGAAUUUUCUAUGUAAAAUGGUAUGGCCUCAAACGCAGAGCUCCACCUGCCUCUGCAUCCUGAUUACUGGGAUUAAAGGCGUGCGCCACUGUGCCUGGCCUUUCUUGAGUUUUACUCAGAACCGAUACAAUACUACUUCCAGUAUGAUCCGUAAAACCUCUGCCAUCUGCGGUGUUCUCUUUUCUUCCAGGCCGGCUGGGAAGAUGAGUCCCAGGAGAACCGUGGAAACCCCAUGUUGCACAAGGGCGGGGCCUCCAUCUCUUCCCCUUCCCUGACCGGCUGCUCUGCCAGCUUCUUCACAUGUUCUUUACUGUUUUUUGAGCAAGAAAUGAACUUCUGCUGGGUCUGUUGGCAUGCUUUUCCGUAUCUGUGGGCCAUUUGGAUCUUUUGUACUCUGUAGUAGCACUUACUUGGAUAUUAAUAGUCAUACACUCUAAGUGAUUUCCCGGUUUCUUAUUAUAUUUGAAACUUUUAAGAUGGUGUCUUUGUUAUUUUUACCUUUAUGAAGCAUCUGCCAAUCUUUUGUCUUCACCCUGAGACAAAUCUUCCUACUUCAAGGUUGGACAUACAGCCUCUUCAUUUUCUUCUGCAUACAAAUGUGUGGACAAAGCAGAGACAAUCAAGGUCCAGCCAGCUCUCAGCCCUCCCUCAGUCAGCACCCAGCCAGACUUGAAACCCAGCUUGCCUUGGGAUUGAGUGUAGUCGUGCUUUUAACAGAGCUCUGCCGAAAGGAGUGUGUCGAGAAUAGAAAGGCAGUGUUUGGGGCUGGCCUGGCUCGUAUACUCCUCUCUGUUGUCUGACUGGGAGGCUGACGAGUCGUCUGCUGAAGAUGGAGGGACCUGGAUAUGGAAAUAACAGGAGCAGACAUUGGUGCCUUACACACCGCGGUGAAGGCGAAUGGUAGCCAUUGCUGCUUUCGGCACACCUUGUUUUUUCGCCAGUUCUGAAAGUGACACAGAGGAUGACAAAAGCUCGGAUUGCAGAAGAUGGAUGAAAGCCAUUUUAACUAGCACAACAGUUUGCGGCUACGAGAACGGCUCCGUGAGUGUAGAAGCCGCUCCUCACCAACCAUGCGGUCACGAUGCAUCUAACGAGACUGGGCACUAAUGGCCCUGGGAACAAUGAGGCAAAUUACCAAGUUCCACUAAAAUGUUUCUCCACUUAUCUUCAAUUAUUCAGACCCAAUCUAAUUUCCUUCAAAAUUAAAUGCGGUGGCUCCAGUUAACUUGUGCGACUGAACGUUUAACAACUGUCCCUGCACGUGACUUUGCUGAGAAAGGACGGGCAGGCUACUCCACAUCGGCUCUGAAACACAGCAGUUCCCUGGACAUGUUAAGACAGCGGGUCACAGAAGGCGCAUAGCUGGGCAUUGUCCCCGAAUGCUAAGACUUAAGGAGUCUCUAAACUACCCUCUUCCCAACUGUGCUGCCCUCCAGCCAUCUAACCGCUUCUUCAGCAGCUACCCCAAGCUCCUGGCCACUUUUGUCUAAACCACUAGGUACCUGGACACAGACAAAGCAAAGACCUGAGGUGAAAGUCUGGGAGGACAGAGCACUUAGGAGUAACAUGCACAUUCGGUUUUCACAGGCAGCUGUCACAGAGCUGUCACCCACAGCUGGAUGUCGGGGAGGGGGGCGCACUUCUGGGAUCUACAUCCAGGAGCCAGGCACAGCUAGUUGUCAGGGAAGAACGGUGAAUAGCUUGGUGCUCCUCCCAGCUGGGCUUCUGUGGACGUUAGGGGCCACUGACCUGAGUGCCUCCUAGUUCUCCUCUCCUUCUUUAUCUCCUGUUGCUUUUUCUGUAACCUGCUCUUUCCUGGUCUCUUUGUUGCCCUCUGGGGUCCCAGCUGCAUUAUCAUCUGUCUUUGGAAAAAUUGCAUUUAGUAGAACCAGAACUGUCCCAUUUAAUAGUGUUCCCGUGGGAACAACCCGCCUUAAUGAAGUUAUGAGUGUUUUGGGUGGUGUGACUUUUUCUUCAGAGGGCAUGAGUUGAUCUCAUCAGAAGGGACGAUCUACUUGUUUUAGUCUUCAAAGGCCUGUGCAGCCCUCACACGCAGCCAUUUCUCUGCUUUCUAUGGAAGAGGCCCACACUAAAUGAAUAAUUGCAAGUCAUUUGGCAUUAGAUUAACAUUAUGAUUUAUUUUAUCAAUUGCUAUUAGUUUGUACUUGCAGUAUUUCCCUAGAGUACACAACAAACUCUUCUAAGUCCAACUAGAGACACCUAGGGCUGGAGAUGAAGCCAAAGGGAAAUGAAGACCGUUCCCAAAGUAAAAAAUUCAACAUGCAGUCAGUCAGUACGCACUGCUGUCUUCCUGUAGCCAGCCAAAGAGAGUUUCGAGGGUUUUGGUGUGGAGGUGCCAGCUUGUAACCCCGACUCAGGAUCCAGGGCACAAGAUUGCCUUUAGUUCAGACCCAGGCGUGUCACCCUAAGAAGCCCAGCAAGGGCUGCACAGCAAGACCUCAUCUGAGAAAACAGACAAACAAACAAAGAAAACCAGAGGAAACAGCAUAAAGAAUUGGGGAGGACCAGCAGCCCUGGCUUCCCGCUGGACGUACUGUGCCUUUUGGUGGCCAAAUGCCCUUUGUCCAGUGUGGAACUUUGUCAACCAUGGCCACUGCUGUGAUGGCUCACAGUGUGCCAAGAACAAUACUUAAGACCUCUACAGGGUUUAUCUCAUUUAACCCCCAUGGGACCUGCUGUGUCUGUUUUCAAGAGGAGGUUCAGAGAGGUUGAUUAUCCCACCCAAAGUCACAUGACCUCUCGUGACCUCAGCUUUGAAGAUCUGCUGCCUGUCUUCUUCUUCCUCUUCCUUCUUCUUCUGCCCUUCUGGUUUUCUGAGACAAGGUCUUACCUGUAGCCCAGGCUGUCCUGGAACUCACUAUGUAGACCAGGUUGGUCUCAAACUCUCCUGGGUGCUGGAAUCAAAGGCGUGCCACCAUGCCCAGCUGCUUGCGGCUUGUGUUCCUAAAUCACCCUCCCUCCCCCACACCAUUGCCUCUGGUGAAGACCGACUGUCAGGCCACGAUUUCUUUGUAGAAAAAUAAACUGGGAACUUCUGGGCAUUUAAAAAGUGGAUCUGAGUGCCACGUUGGAUGUGAAGAAAGCCAGAGUUGUUAUGGUUGUGUUCCCCGGCCUGAGAAAUGAACUGGCUCCUUUCACCAGGACGGUCUGAGGAACAAUGAAGCUACAAACGGUACCGGACACAUGUAAACACAGUUUUUGUUUGUUUUUUCUUCUGUGAGAACCUCACACUGUAGAUCUGGUCUGGGUCUCGCUGCGUAGCCCAGGCUGGCCUUAAACUCUUGAAAAUCCUCCCACCACAGCCUCCCAGGUAGGAGGCUAAGUAUAAAAGGCAGAAUAACUUUGUGUGGCUGUGAUCUGAUCCCAGGGCCUGGCUGUGGGUCUAAUUCUCCAGGGUUGCAUAUCCCCUUUGCCCGUGCCUCGCCCCCCCCCUCCUGCCUGCACGCAUGUGGUGCACCACUUCCUGCAGUGCCCAGAGGAGACAUCUGCUUCUCUGGGUAGGGCUUACAGAUGGUUGUGAGCCGUCAUGCCGUCAUGUGGGUGUUAGGAAUUGAACCAGGGUCCUCUGGAAGAGCAGCCCUUAACGGCUCUAAUCACAGAGCCAUCUCUUCAGCCCCCACUGAUGUGUUUCUUGCUCUAUGUCUCUGCUAAGAGGUUGCUCUGGUAGUAAUCCCUGCAGCCCCCAGUCAGCUGCCUACACACACCUCAGUCCUAAGACAGGAAGCUGUAGUUAGGCUUUCUAGACAUCGAAACUAUUUUGUUCUUGUCUUCCGAGUUCAUUCAAUGCCCUGCGCUUGGCAGGCCCUCUGUCCUCUGGCCCUCCAGGUAUAUUGCCAAAAACUCGGUGUCAUUUGACCCCAUCUGUGACCUUUGGCACACCCCAGUUUGUGUCCUCUGAGGGAAACUCCUCAAUACAAAUUCUUUGUUUGGUCCUAGCAUCUGCCCCGUUUCUCACCUGCCUUUAUACUGCUGAAUCUUUAACUUAGUCACAAAGGUCAGCAACUAUUCCGUGUCAGUCAUAGCAGCCAAGAGCAAUGUUUACUAAAGUCAAUUUUUUUCCUUCCAGACUUUAAUGUUGUGCAUGUGUGUGCGCCUGUGUGCUUGUGGAGGCCUGAGGCUGAUGUUGGGUGUCUUCCUCCAUGACUUUCCACCUUAUUUACUUAUGUUUCUUAGGCUCUUCCUGAGCCGAGUUCACCAACUGGCUAGACAAUCUGGUCCCAAGCCCCAGGUCUGCAUGUCUCUUCACAGACUCCACUGACGUUGCAGACCAGGGCUGCAUCUGGCAUUUGUGUGGUGCUGGAGGCCUGAACUCAGGUUCCCGUACUUGGCAGGCAAGCAUAUUCCCACCUGAGCCAUCUCUUUAGCACUUUCUUUUAAAUGCUAAAUGCAAUUUAUUUUCUAACACAUACAUAAAACAUACCAGUACACAUGGUCACGGGAUAAAGUUGUAUCUUGAUACAUGUCUGUCUGUUUUCCAGGUGUUUGAAAUGCACAACAUAUUAUACCCAUCUGUGGUCAUCAGGUUUCUGGCAGUGAACUCUCCUAGUCCCUAUGAAUUAGCUGCUCAACAGCCUGAGAGAGCCACCACCCUCCCCUCAGCUGCCAUGAGAGCAGACCUCUCAGGUGUGCCUGAGGGCCUGCAGCAGUUACCUUUCUGUACCUGACUUAGAUUCCAGCCAGGUUGUUAGAAAUGACAGGGACACUUUUUUUUUUUUUGUAAUUUUUUUUUUGUAAUUGAAUUGCAUUCCAGUGUGUGUGUGUGUGUGUGUGUGUGUGUGUGUGUGUGUGUGUGUGUCCCACUCCCCCCACUUUGGUUUUUCAAGACCGGGUUUCUCUGUAUAGCCUUGGAUAUCCUGGAACUUGAUAUGAAGACCAGAUUAAAGGCUUGUACCACCACCUGCCUCUGCUUCCAAGUGCUGGGAUCAAAGGCAUGUACCACCACUGUCCAGUUACUUAUUUGCUCUUAAAAAUACCUUUGUUAAAGUCUUAGGAAUGCAGUUGGCUGUGUUUUCCAGGUGGGCUCUAUCAUUAAGGAGCAAGGUGGGGCUGUCAUACUGGCUCAGGGGGUAAAGGUGACCACUGCCAAGUCCAACAAUCUGGGUUAGGUCCCUAGAACUCAAGGCAGGAAGGUGAGAACCAGCUCUCUUUUGCUGUCCUCUGACCUCCACACAUGUACCCCGGCAUGCAUGCACAUAAAAUAAAUAAAAUAAGAAUAAAAAGGAAGCAAGGUUGGUAUUGAUGGUUUUGUCUGGCCCUUAAGUUUAUGUUAGAGUUUUUCCUGGCAUUUUUUUUUCCUGGAGUAUCAUAAGCAAACAACAAAUAAAAGGGGCAAAAUGUUUGGUGAUCAGAAAAUAGUCUCCAAGGACCAUGCUCUCCUGCUGCAGUUCUGCAGUUUGUUUGCAGCUGAAGGCUGAUGGUUUGUGCAACCAGCCUCUGAAUUCAGCACAGAAGUGAAUGAUUGGGCUUCAAAGUGGCAUUGAUUAAUUAUUGCAGAAAUUUCAAUCAGAGAUAGCAGUUUGAAUUUCCCUUCACUACUUCUGUUUCAGAGGCCACGUGACCCUUUGAGAGUCAAGAUGAAACAAAACUGACUUUGAUUAGUUUCAAAGCAUUGCUCUGGUCUUCUCUACACCCUCCAAGUCCAGGGCCUGGCAAAUAUCCUUCAUUAAGCAAACAUUUAUGGGCUGCCAGCCCUGUUCCUCUACUGGGGAGGGCAGUGGACAGACAGCAGAAAGCAGCUCUUGUUUCUUUGCAUCAGUUGAUGUGAACUUACCACAGGCUCUCUGAUUCUAUCCAGACAGCGUUUUGUAACACGAAAAAUAAAAGACCCAGAGACUGAUAUUGGGGUUCAAGCUUCAAGCUGAAGAUCAGAAAAACAAAGCAACUGGCCACUAGCUCUCACCUCUAGCUCAGGCUGAAAGGGCUGAUCCACAUACGAGCUCUUCACCAAGUCUCAAACUGCUGCCUCUCCUCAGCGUGGCUGGAGAACGAAUGCCUCUCUGAGACCUUGCAUCUGUCUUAUAUACUUCCCUAAUGUUGGGAUUAAAGAAAACACACAACAAUGGGGUCCAUGGCAUUUUCAGAGAACUGGUGUGGUUCUUGUUGGAGAAAUUCUCUCUCAAAACAAGAGUCCAAUGGCUGAGACUCUUGGUGAUAAAUAGCUUGCUGUGACAGAGGAACCAUCCUGCUCCCCCACCCCAGUGUCGGAAAAUUAUUUACCAUCCCAUCAGCUGAAGUACCGAAGACAUGUUCUGUUUGAAUUAACUGGGGGAAGAGGGACUCGUGUCAGUCAGCGGGCUGCGAUGAUGGCAGCCGCAGUCUCACGAGGCAGACAAGAAAGAGACAGCAUUAUCCCUGGCGUCCUUGCCCAACUGAUUGGUGCUUUUAGGGUAAUUAAUCCUCGUUUCAAGUAUAAUUGGACUCUUAUUGAUCGAAGCAGCAACGUACGAUGUGGCCCAUGGAACACAGAAAGACAGACUUCCUUCCCAGCAGAACACGGUUAAUUUGAACUCCAGAUCUUUCGCAUUUCAUUCACACACUUGAGCAAGCCCCCUGCUUUGCAACUGAUUUAGGCUGUAAUGUUUUGUGAGCUUAGAUGAGAAUUUAUUGUUAUUUUUUCUUCAGGAACAUAGAUUAUCAGGGAAUUUUCACUGACUUCCGCUUUGCUUAUCAGUUCAGGCACCAGCUUUCCAAAGCUGAGUGAGUCACGCUGCAAUGUUCUAAUGAAUUUCAGAUAGUGUGAAUUAAACAUUGACAAACAUCUGAGAAAACAAAACUACGUGUGAAUUACAAGGGUAGAUACAUUAAAAUUGUGGUUUAACACAGCUACCUUCAUUAAAGAAAAACAAAACAAAAAACCCUAACAGCUCAGGCUGAGCAGCUAGGGAUGCUGUGUGAGCAGGAGCCAAAGGACCAGCGAAGGGGGUUUGUGGGAAGUAGCUCCUGAGGUUCAUUCAGAGUCUGUGCUGGGACCUUUUGUGUGAGAAACUGUGCCUUCAUGUCAGGGAAAGGUGCCUGGGCCAUAGCUUCAGAUGAGAUACACAGUGUUUUUCUCUUCAAAGGCUAGAGAUUACCACUGCAGCAAGAAUGCAAAUUUCUAAACAGAUGAUCAUGACAGAUGAGAACAAAAAGUUGAAAUAAAAAUUUUCAAGUUCUAAUUACUCUUAUCAGCUAAAUCCAAAUCAUCUCAGUAUGUGAGACACACACACACACACAUACACACACACCCGCACACAUGCACACGCACACGCACACGCACACACACAUGCACACGCACACACAAACACAUAGACACAUGAAUUUUUUAUCUGUUUAGUGGCUGUACAUAAAUUUACUGAUAUUUUAAGUAUCCUCUGCCACCCCACAGUCCCUCAGUCAGCACUCUGCUGACCACUUAUGCCAAAGCCUGGUGGGACUUCUGGUCCAACCCCCCCAAAAAGAUAUCACCAUGUAUCCCCCCUUUUUUGUCUAAAAUUUAGAAAAGGUUCUAACUAAUAUAAGAAAAACUAUAUACAAUAAGUAUAACUAUAUACAAUAUAUAUAGGCAAUAAGUACAUCAACAAUGUCUAGUCCAUCAGCAUUUGACAAAUUCAGAGAAAACACUCCAUUAUCUACUCUUUCUUGAUGAGUCCAAAGUCUUGUACCUAAUUUACUUUCUACUCUAAUUUGCACUAACAGGUUAUCUUCUAAUGUCUUUCAAACCCUUUACACUUAACACAUCUUUAGUGAGUUUCUUUACUGAGUCUGGUAAACAAGGAAAAGUAUAUCUCUAUUAUUGAGUCUUCUACUCCCAAAGAGACCAGAAAAGGAAGUAAUAUUAACUGAGUAAACAGGAAGUGCAGGCAAACGACUUCCGAAAAGUGUGAGAAAUGACAGAAACUGCUGGCUGCCUGCACAGCCACCCAGGACUGCUCUGCCACACUGGAGCAUCCAUCUUUGGUCUAUAGGCCGAGCAUGUCUGACAGACGUUUCUGUGAACCAGGAUAUUCUGAAGGACAGGGCUGCCUUGUCUUGGCAAGGUUUGCAGUCACUGUUUUUCAUGUUCUGCUAGUCCAAUUUGGACAGAAUACUCUCAGCAGUUGAGGCAAGGGCACUUUCUUGCCCAAGGGCUUACUUUUAUCGCAAAGAACUCAAACUCCACAUGGAGUUUCUUCAAUGCCCAUCAUCUUCUCUGAAGUAGAUUGUUGCUGCCAGGAGAAGACACGUCUCAUAGUCAUAAAACAAGAAACUCUGUUAUUAAAACGUGUUAAAUGCCAUAUUCUGUAAAUCUCUGAAUAUUUGAAGACCAUCUGUCUUUCUAAAAUAUCUGUUUAACCUUGUAAGCAUACCUAAUGUGACUACAAGUUCGAUUGUAAUAGUUGACUAAUUACUAAACUACAUUUCCUUAUUAUCCCAUAUAGUUGAUAAUAAUAACUUUCAAGGACUAGAAAUUUGUAUUACAUUGUUAAAUGAGCUUUAUAGGUACAAUACCUUGAACAAUAUUAGAAACAUGUGCGCAGUAUGUUUUAGCAAAAUUAAUCUCAAAUUUGUAUCAAUAUACAUUUGUAUACAGUAUAUAAAAAUCCAAUCCAAUGUAAAAUAUUUAAAACUAGUAGUUGCUUUUAAAGAGUAGAUUCAAUAAUUUACCUUUUAAUCUCAUCAUAAUCUACCCUCCCUUUUUUCUUUUCAGGGUAGAUUCAGUAAUCUACCCUUUUUAUACUAUUAUAUCUAGAUGCCUCUUAUUUUCAAAACAAAAACCUUGAAUAUAAUUCCAUUUGUUCAAAUUUCUUCCUGAUCAUAAACAACAACAUUUUGUAACAAAUCCCCCUAAACAAUGACAAAUAUCCAUAACGCAGCGAGUGACCAAAAUCCACCCACCCUACCUCUUGAGAAUGUGGGCACUGUGUUCUUAAAGUUACUUCCUGCUGUGGGGGGGGCAAUGGCAUCUUUAGGGGAUCCUGAAAAGAUAGUUUGGGUUAAUUGUCAAGCUGUAUCAUUUGUUGUCCAGUCUCUGCAUGAUGGGCAAGUCCAAGGCUUCUUUCAAGUGCUGGCUAACGUAGUCUGUGAGGCAGGAACACCUCAGCAAGUCAUCUCAAAAUUGUCAUGAGCAAUUUGUGGUCCAAAGCUGAUCUUUAGUUGGUGUUGUUCAGCAUAAUGGUGUUGUGAUAGUCCUGGUGAAAUUGUCGUUGUGGGGCCCCGUCCUCAUUUGGAGACUUCAAAAGGUUGCUGUUAGGCGUGGCCAUGGUUUACUGUAGAAAACUGAUACUCAAACCAGAAAUCAUGUACAGGAAGGUAGACAAAACCCUUUUCUAGAAUUGGUUAGUACUCUAUAUGACCAUUAAUAUCAUGACAAAAAUUAUGAGAUUAGUAGCAAUACAAUAGUCCUAAAUAUUUGCUUUUCUUCUAUUCCAUAUCAGAUGGCUCUUCUGACAUGAGACAGAGAUUUUGAAUUUUACUUUAACAAGCAUGCUUGGGUUUAGAGAAGGAGAGAGCCACACUCCAGCUCCAAAGCCAGUUUUUAAUAUUUAAUUGGACUGGGACUACCAAAGAUCAUUCAUAUACAUGUCUGUAGGGGAAAAAGGUACAAACAUUUGGGAAGAUUUGUGAACUUUUACCCUGUGGUAAAUGUGAUACACAAAUAGGCCGAUCUGCUCUUUUUCUUGGGACAAUUAUCCUAGAUGAUUUAUUCUUUUCCUUCAGAUGUCUCAUUUGUCCAGUCGUCUCCAGAUUCAUUAGCUGGAGACCUUUCUUUUCCUGGAAAGACAAAGAUAAAACCCUUCCCCAACCCUAAAUUUUGGAGAGGUUCUCCUUGGCAAGUUAUAUCUGAUCAAAUAAAAGCAUUUGUUAGUUUUAUAGGUUAGUUUAGAUUAAAUGAUCAUGCUGCUUGAUGAACUAUCAUCUCUUUUAAUUAAGAGGUGUCAUGUUUAAAUUGAAUCUUUAUUAAUUUUGAUGCUAUCCAUAUUUUUUCUGUGGAAACAAAAGCAAAACCUCUCCCCCAAUGUAACACGUGUCCUGGUUUCCAUUCAGAGGUCAGCACAUCUUUGAAGUACACUGACUGGUUUAAUUCUCUAGUUUUCUUUAUUAGCCAAUGUCUCUCUGAAGCUGUUGUUCCUUUCUCAUUAUCAUUCAGAAAAUUCAAAGUUAAUAAAGCACCGUG
rnacentral:lncRNA from 1 species